UAUAUUAUCUUAAUUAUGAACACACUGUUUUGUAUUGCGAACAGUUUUAUCGUUUAUUGCAUGUUGUUAUUCUUCACGUUAUUUCCAUAUAGCGGCUAAUGAACCGGAAGUCUCACACACCAGCUUACUUUCUCAUUGAAGAAUAAGGUGGAUAGGAGAUGACAAAUAAGACAAAUCCAUCCGUUUUAAUGAAACAUCAAAGAUCUAAUUGGUUGUUUUCUUUGAUCCAGGUAUUCAGAAACGGUAUCUUUGUGCCAACUUUGGUGAACAGGGCAUCACCGUUGGCUGCUGGGACACCUACAGACAUGACAUUGAUUGUCAGUGGAUCGAUAUCACAGAUGUGAAACCAGGAGACUAUAUUUUCCAGGUCGUAAUUAAUCCUAACUAUGACGUAGCCGAAUCAGAUUAUACCAACAAUUUCAUGAAGUGCAAGUGUCGCUAUGAUGGAUACAGGAUAUGGACGUACCACUGUCAUACAGGUGGCUCGCAGAGUUCAGACAUGGACGAAUACCCUGGAAUGAGCAAUCAGUUGCACUUCAGAUAGGAGCGGAUGAGGACAAAGGCUCUCAGUGGAGGACGCUGCGGGCUGUCACUCAAGACUAUUCAAAUAUGAUUGACCACUACAGAGACUCCAGCACUUCGAAGGCAGAGACCGCUGCUCUUUUAGGUUUGAAGUACAGCAUGUUCUUUCACGGUCCCCCGCUAUAUCAAGCUUGCUUUGAAUAGAAACUAUUUAAAUUUCUGAAAUGUACUGUACUUGCUGCAUUUUUGGUGCUUGAAAUGCUCGUUUGUUGGUUGUAGUGGUUACAAACCCAUGCUGUAACGUUCAUACUGGGAUCUUCGAUUCUUCCUGCAUUAUAACUUAAAUCACAAAGCCUGCCGUUUCAUGAACUCAACCCUAUUUCUGGCUGUUUAGACUCUUUUGUGGUUAAUUCAUCAAGCAUGUCAAGUAAUUUAUGUUCCGUCAGGGAUUAUGUUUUGUCAACUUUUGUGUAUGCAAUGUGAAUCUGUAACCAUUUGUUUUUUUGGCCAAUUUGUGAAGCAUCUACCCUCCGUUUUAUGAGGGUACUUAUGACCAGUUCAAUGGUUUUCAGAUAUGCAAUGUGUUUAUGACUGAACAACACGUUUGGUCAAACCAUUGCAUUGUUUUCUAUAAUAAAAGCAAUUCAUGUGUGUUA